rnacentral:rRNA from 1 species
CCUACGGGAGGCUGCAGUGGGGAAUAUUGGGCAAUGGGCGCAAGCCUGACCCAGCAACGCCGCGUGAAGGAAGAAGGCUUUCGGGUUGUAAACUUCUUUUCUGGGGGACGAACAAAUGACGGUACCCCAGGACUAAGCCACGGCUAACUACGUGCCAGCAGCCGCGGUAAUACGUAGGUGGCAAGCGUUAUCCGGAUUUAUUGGGUGUAAAGGGCGUGUAGGCGGGAAUGCAAGUCAGAUGUGAAAACUCAGGUCUCAACCCUGAGCCUGCAUUUGAAACUGUGUUUCUGGAGUGCUGGAGAGGCAAUCGGAAUUCCGUGUGUAGCGGUGAAAUGCGUAGAUAUACGGAGGAACACCAGUGGCGAAGGCGGAUUGCUGGACAGUAACUGACGCUGAGGCGCGAAAGCGUGGGGAGCAAACAGGAGUAGAUACCCGGGUAGUC